rnacentral:rRNA from 1 species
GACGAACGCUGGCGGCGCGCCUAACACAUGCAAGUCGAACGGAGUUAUUUGAAAGCUUGCUUUUGGAUAACUGAGUGGCGGACGGGUGAGUAACGCGUGAGUAACCUGCCUUAAAGAGGGGGAUAACGUCUGGAAACGGACGCUAAUACCGCAUGACAUACGGACAUGGCAUCAUGAUCGUAUCAAAGGAGCAAUCCGCUUUAAGGUGGACUCGCGUCCAAUUAGCUAGUUGGUGAGGUAACGGCCCACCAAGGCGACGAUUGGUAGCCGGACUGAGAGGUUGAACGGCCACAUUGGAACUGAGAAACGGUCCAA